rnacentral:rRNA from 1 species
AUGAACGCUAGCUACAGGCUUAACACAUGCAAGUCGAGGGGCAUCAGGAAGAAAGCUUGCUUUCUUUGCUGGCGACCGGCGCACGGGUGAGUAACACGUAUCCAACCUGCCCUUUACUCGGGGAUAGCCUUUCGAAAGAAAGAUUAAUACCCGAUAGCAUAAUGAUUCCGCAUGGUUUCAUUAUUAAAGGAUUCCGGUAAAGGAUGGGGAUGCGUUCCAUUAGGUUGUUGGUGAGGUAACGGCCCACCAAGCCUUCGAUGGAUAGGGGUUCUGAGAGGAAGGUCCCCCACAUUGGAACUGAGACACGGUCCAAACUCCUACGGGAGGCAGCAGUGAGGAAUAUUGGUCAAUGGGCGCUAGCCUGAACCAGCCAAGUAGCGUGAAGGAUGAAGGCUCUAUGGGUCGUAAACUUCUUUUAUAUAAGAAUAAAGUGCAGUAUGUAUACUGUUUUGUAUGUAUUAUAUGAAUAAGGAUCGGCUAACUCCGUGCCAGCAGCCGCGGUAAUACGGAGGAUCCGAGCGUUAUCCGGAUUUAUUGGGUUUAAAGGGAGCGUAGGUGGACUGGUAAGUCAGUUGUGAAAGUUUGCGGCUCAACCGUAAAAUUGCAGUUGAUACUGUCAGUCUUGAGUACAGUAGAGGUGGGCGGAAUUCGUGGUGUAGCGGUGAAAUGCUUAGAUAUCACGAAGAACUCCGAUUGCGAAGGCAGCUCACUGGACUGCAACUGACACUGAUGCUCGAAAGUGUGGGUAUCAAACAGGAUUAGAUACCCUGGUAGUCCACACAGUAAACGAUGAAUACUCGCUGUUUGCGAUAUACAGUAAGCGGCCAAGCGAAAGCAUUAAGUAUUCCACCUGGGGAGUACGCCGGCAACGGUGAAACUCAAAGGAAUUGACGGGGGCCCGCACAAGCGGAGGAACAUGUGGUUUAAUUCGAUGAUACGCGAGGAACCUUACCCGGGCUUAAAUUGCAGUGGAAUGAUGUGGAAACAUGUCAGUGAGCAAUCACCGCUGUGAAGGUGCUGCAUGGUUGUCGUCAGCUCGUGCCGUGAGGUGUCGGCUUAAGUGCCAUAACGAGCGCAACCCUUAUCUUCAGUUACUAACAGGUUAUGCUGAGGACUCUGGAGAGACUGCCGUCGUAAGAUGUGAGGAAGGUGGGGAUGACGUCAAAUCAGCACGGCCCUUACGUCCGGGGCUACACACGUGUUACAAUGGGGGGUACAGAAGGCAGCUAGCGGGUGACCGUAUGCUAAUCCCGAAAGCCUCUCUCAGUUCGGAUCGAAGUCUGCAACCCGACUUCGUGAAGCUGGAUUCGCUAGUAAUCGCGCAUCAGCCACGGCGCGGUGAAUACGUUCCCGGGCCUUGUACACACCGCCCGUCAAGCCAUGGGAGCCGGGGGUACCUGAAGUACGUAAUCGCAAGGAUCGUCCUAGGGUAAAACUGGUGACUGGGGCU